UGCGAGAUGCUGCUUCUCAGAGCUGCUGU
rnacentral:piRNA from 1 species